rnacentral:rRNA from 1 species
AGCGAACGCUGGCGGCAGGCCUAACACAUGCAAGUCGAACGAACUCUUCGGAGUUAGUGGCGGACGGGUGAGUAACACGUGGGAACGUGCCUUUAGGUUCGGAAUAACUCAGGGAAACUUGUGCUAAUACCGAAUGUGCCCUUCGGGGGAAAGAUUUAUCGCCUUUAGAGCGGCCCGCGUCUGAUUAGCUAGUUGGUGAGGUAAAGGCUCACCAAGGCGACGAUCAGUAGCUGGUCUGAGAGGAUGAUCAGCCACAUUGGGACUGAGACACGGCCCAAACUCCUACGGGAGGCAGCAGUGGGGAAUCUUGCGCAAUGGGCGAAAGCCUGACGCAGCCAUGCCGCGUGAAUGACGAAGUCUUUCGGGAUGUAAAGUUCUGUCAAGAGGGACGAUAAUGACGGUACCUCUAAAGGAAGCCCCGGCUAAUUACGUGCCAGCAGCCGCCGUAA